GCCUCUAUGGAUCAGUGUUAGAUCACCUCUUCGAAAUAUUGGACAGGACACUUUGCAGUGCAAGAGGAGACGUGGGUUCGAAUCCCACCAGAGGCU